ACCUUCAUCCAGGCCCAUGAACUUGCUUGGGAAAUAUCGGGACUAAAAUGAUAAAAAGGUGUAACCAACAAACUCAAUGUGUAAAGGGCCCAAUCUGUCGGUUCCCAUUUCAGUCAAAAGCACAUUGCAUUGCGAAUUUCAGACCACACACCUUCACCCUCAAUAAGAGCCCAUGGGAGGCAUUCCAAAAGGUGGCAUUGGUGGCAUACCCAUUCCACUCAUUGGUGGUGGAGGUGCUGAAAAACCUCCUCCCAUACCUGCCCCUCCCAUACCCGGCAUUGGUGGUGCAGGCAAAGCAAGUGGCAGCAACUGAGCAUACAUA
rnacentral:lncRNA from 1 species